GAAGCCCUCCAGUUCCUCCUCCAGUCUUUACCUCUCAUUUCAGCCUCUUAAUCCCUAUUUUCAGAGGCAAUGUGGUAUAAAGGAUAAAGGAGUGGAUUUAGCUUCAGUUGGUACAUGCUGUACACAUCUGCACCUAGCCUGAGUUUUGCCCUCUUUAAAGUUUGUAUAAUAUCGCCUUUCAUUGCCUCCUGGGUUCAAGCGAUUCUCCUGCCUCAGCCUCCCAAGUAGCUGGAAUUACAAGUGCCUGCCACUGUGCCCGGCUAAUUUUUGUAUUUUUAGUAGAGACAGGGUUCCACCAUCUUGGUCAGGAUGGUCUUGAACUCCUGACCUCGUGAUCCAUCUGCCUCAGCCUCCCAAAUUGCUGGGAUUACAGGCGUGAGCCACCGUGCCCGGCCGUAUAUUGCCUUUUCAUAGGAACGUUGACAUAGUUAAACCCUACCUUAUCGUAUGAUCAUUUCACCCAUGAGCUGGUACCACCUUUUGCCAUGACUCUGGGGAAGGCUUGGGCUACUCUGUGCUCGUAGUUUGUCCCCUGGCCCAUACCAAGGUUUCACCCCUCCACCUUCCUCCUUUGAGACCAGUUUGGCCAACAUGGUGAAACCCCGUCUCUACUAAAAAUAAAAAAAAAUUAGCCAGGCAUGGUGGUGGGACGCCUGUAGUCCUAGCUACUCAGGAGGCUGAGGAGAGUCUCUUGAAUCUGGGAAGUGGAGGUGGCAGUGAGCCAAGAUUGUGCCACUGCACUCCAGCCUGAGUGACAGAGCGAGACUCUGUCUCAAAAAAAAAAAAGCAAAACAAAACCCUUUAGAGACAAACAAAAACAGAGGUUUCUACCAACAGACUACUCCACUAAAGCAACUUCUUCUUUUUUUUUUUUUUUUCUGACACAGAGUCUCACUCUGUCCCCUAAGCUGGAGUGCAGUGGCACAAUCUCAGCUCACUGCAGCCUCCGUUUCCCAGGUGCAAGCGAUUCUCCUGCCUCAGCCUCCCAAGUAGUUGAAAUUCAGGCACGCGCCUCCAUGCCCGGCUAAUUUUUUUGUAUGUUUAGUAGAGACGGGGUUUCGCCAUGUUGGCCAGGCUAGUCUUGAACUCCUGACCUCAAAUGAUCCUCCCACCUCGGCCUCCCAAAGUGCUGGGAUUACAGGCGUGAGCCACUAUGCGAGGCCUACUAAAGCAACUUCUAAAAGAAAUAAUUCAAAAGAAGAAAAAUUAUAAGCAUACCUUAUUUUAUUGUACUUCAGACACUGCCUUUUUAUUUUAUUAUUAAAUAAAUUGAAGGUUUGCGGCAACCCUGUGUUGAGCAAGUCUGUUGACGCCAUUUUUCUAUCAGCAUGUGCUCAUUUCAUGUCUCUGUGUCACAUCUUGGUAAUUCUCAUGAUGUUUCAAAGUUUUUCAUUAUUAUUAUAUGUGUUAUGAUGAUUUGUGAUCAGUGAUUUUUUGGUGUUACUAAUAGAAUUGUUUUGGGGUGCUACAAAUGGUGCCCAUAUAAGGCAGCAAACAAUCAACAAAUGUGUAUGUUCUGACUGCCUCACUGACGAGCUGUUCUUCAUCUCUCUCUUUCUCCUGGGGAUUCCCUAUUCCCUAAGACACAACAAUAUUGAAAGUAGGCCAGUUAAUAACCCUACAAUGGCCUCUAAGUGUUCAUGUGAAAGAAAGAGUCACAGGUCUCUCACUAGAAAUCAAAAGCUAGAAAUGAUUAGGCCUACUGAGGAAGUCGUGUUGAAAGCUGAGAUAGGCCCAAAGCUAGGCCUCUUGUACCAGUUAGCCAAGCUGUGAAUAAAGGAAAAUGUUCUUGAAGGAAAUUAAAAGUGCUACUCCAGUUAACACACAAAUGAUAAAAAAGCAAAACAGCUUUAUUUGCUGACAGGAAGGAAGUUCAAGUGGUCUGAUUAGAAGAUCAAACCAGCCACAACAUUCCCUUAAGUUGAAUCCUAAUCCAAGGCAAGAUCCUAAAUCUCUUCAAUGUUGUGAAGGUUGACAGAGGGGAGGAAGCUGCAGAAGAAAAGUUAGAAGCUAGCAGAGCUUGGUUCUUGAGGUUUAACGAGAGAAGCUGUCUCCACAACGUAAAGGUGAAGCAGCAAGUGCUGACAUAGAAACCACAGCAAGUUAGUCGGAAGAUCUAGCUAAGAUAAUUGGUGACAGUGGCUAUGCUAAACAACAGAUUUUAAUGUAGGCAAAACAGUCUUCUCUUGGAAAAAGAUGCCAUCUACGACUUUCAUAGCUAGAAAGGAGAAGUCAAUGCCUGGCUUCAAAGUUUCAAAGAACAGGCUGACUUUCUCAUUAGGGGCCAGGGCAGCUGGUGACUUCAAGUUAAAGUCAAUGUUUACCAUUCUGAAAAUCCUAGGGUCUUUAUGAAUUUUCCACCCCUCAAGGUUCAAGUGAUUCUUCUGCCUUAGCCUCCUGAGUAGCUGGGAUUACAGGCACCCGCCACCACGCCCUGCUAACUUUUAUAUUUUUAGUAGAGACGGGGUUUCACCAUAUUGGCCAGGUUGGUCUCAAACUCCUGACCUCAAGUGACCCGCCCUCCUUGGCCUCACAAAGUGUUGGGAUUACAGGCGUGAGCCACCACGCCAGGCUUCUAGGGCCUUUAAUAAUUAUGCUAAAUCUAUUCUGCCUGUGAUCUAUCAAAGAAACAACAAAGCUUGGAUGACAGCUCAUCUAUUUACAGCAUGGUUUGCCAAAUAUAUAUAUAUAUAUAUAUAUAUAUUUUUUUUUUUUUUUGAGAUGGAGUUUCGCUCUUGUUGCCCAGGCUGGAGUGCAAUUGUGCGAUCUCAGCUCACUGCU
rnacentral:lncRNA from 10 species